rnacentral:rRNA from 1 species
GACGAGGGAUCCUAGCGUUGUUCGGAAUCAUUGGGCGUAAAGCGGGUGUAGGUGGCUUUGUAAGUCAGAUGUGAAAGCCCAGGGCUCAACCCUGGAAGUGCAUUUGAUACUGCUUAGCUUGAGUGUGGGAGAGGCUACUGGAAUUCCUGGUGUAGUGGUGAAAUACGUAGAUAUCAGGAGGAAUACCGGAGGCGAAGGCGGGUAGCUGGCCCAACACUGACACUGAGACCCGAAAGCGUGGGGAUCAAACAGG